rnacentral:tRNA from 1 species
GCUGGUGUGAUGAAAUGGCAGACAUAGUGGACUUAAAAUCCACAGGUGGCAACACCGUGCCGGUUCGAGUCCGGCCACCAGCACCA